GACGAACGCUGGCGGCGUGCUUAACACAUGCAAGUCGUACGGUAAGGCCCUUUCGGGGGUACACGAGUGGCGAACGGGUGAGUAAAACGUGAGUAACCUGCCCACAACUUUGGGAUAACGCUAGGAAACUGGUGCUAAUACUGGAUAUGUGCUCCUGCAGCAUGGUGGGGGUUGGAAAGCUCCGGCGGUUGUGGAUGGACUCGCGGCCUAUCAGCUUGUUGGUGGGGAAGUGGCCUACCAAGGCGGCGACGGGUAGCCGGCCUGAGAGGGUGACCGGCCACAUUGGGACUGAGUGACGGCCCAGACUCCUACGGGAGGCAGCAGUGGGGAAUAUUGCACAAUGGGCGCAAGCCUGAUGCAGCAACGCCGCGUGCGGGAUGACGGCCUUCGGGUUGUAAGCCGCUUUCAGCAGGGACGAAGCUUUUUGUGACGGUACCUGCAGAAGAAGCACCGGCUAACUACGUG
rnacentral:rRNA from 1 species